rnacentral:rRNA from 1 species
CAGCAGCCGCGGGAAUACCGAGGGUGCGAGCGUUAAUCGGAUUUACUGGGCGUAAAGCGUGCGUAGGCGGCUAAUUGAGUCGGAUGUGAAAUCCCCGAGCUUAACUUGGGAAUUGCAUUCGAUACUGGUUAGCUAGAGUGUGGGAGAGGAUGGUAGAAUUCCAGGUGUAGCGGUGAAAUGCGUAGAGAUCUGGAGGAAUACCGAUGGCGAAGGCAGCCAUCUGGCCUAACACUGACGCUGAGGUACGAAAGCAUGGGGAGCAAACAGGAUUAGAUACCCGUGUAGUCCCUGUCUCUUAUAC